rnacentral:rRNA from 1 species
UACGUAGGGUGCAAGCGUUGUCCGGAAUUAUUGGGCGUAAAGGGCUCGUAGGCGGUCCAUCACGUCGGGAGUGAAAAGCUGGGGCUUAACCCCAGUCCUGCUUCCGAUACGGGUGGACUAGAGGUAGGCAGGGGAGAACGGAAUUCCUGGUGUAGCGGUGAAAUGCGUAGAGAUCAGGAAGAACAUCGGUGGCGAAGGCGCUCUGCUGGACCAUAACUGACACUCAGGGACGAAAGCUAGGGGAGCGAAUGGG